GAUGAAGAACGUAGCGAAAUGCGAUACGUAAUGUGAAUUGCAGAAUUCAGUGAAUCAUCGAAUCUUUGAACGCAUAUUGCGCUCUCUGGUAUUCCGGAGAGCAUGCUUGUUUGAGUAUCAGUAAACACCUCAACUUCCAUAUCCUUUUUUGAAAUGGGAGUUGGACUUGAGUGAUCCCAACGCUUUUCCUCACCGAAAAGUGGCGGGUUACUUGAAAUGCAGGUGCAGCUGGACUUUUCUCUGAGCUAUAAGCAUAUCUAUUUAGUCUGCCUAAAAAACAGAUUAUUACCUUUGCUGCAGCUAACAUAAAGGAGAUUAGUUCUUGUGCUGACUGAUGCAGGAUUCACAAAGACAGCUUCGGCCGACUUUGUAAACUCGAUCUCAAAUCAAGUAAGACUACCCGCUGAACUUAAGCAUAUCAAUAAGCGGAGGA
rnacentral:misc_RNA from 1 species